rnacentral:lncRNA from 1 species
AGGUUUUGCCUUUGGCGUUCAACAACUUCACCCGGCCCUUAUCCAGAGACCUUUUGGGGCUCGUAUACAGUUAAGCUAACUGAUCAGAAGGAUGCGGUGAUGCAAGGUGGACUAGUUCUGUUUGGAGUUAAACUCUGUAACCAGUAGACUCAGACACACAAGCUCAGAUGGAUCCCCGCCCACUACGUCUACCCGCAGGCUUUUGUGCAGCCUGGAGUGGUCAUUCCCCACGUCCAGCCCACGGCAGCUGCGGCUUCCACCACACCGUACAUAGAUUACACUGGAGCCGCCUACGCACAGUACUCGGCGGCGGCGGCUGCAGCCGCGGCGGCUGCUGCCUAUGACCAGUACCCAUAUGCAGCAUCGCCAGCUGCCACAGGCUAUGUGACCACUGGGGGCUACAGCUAUGCCGUCCAGCAGCCCAUCACCGCUGCUGCGCCCGGAACGGCUGCUGCUGCGGCUGCGGCCGC